rnacentral:rRNA from 1 species
AAUAUUGGGCAAUGGGCGCAAGCCUGACCCAGCGACGCCGCGUGAGGGAAGAAGGUCUUCGGAUUGUAAACCUCUUUUAUAGGGGAAGAAAAGCAGCUUCGGCUGCCGUGACGGUACCGUAAGAAAAAGCCACGGCUCACUACGUGCCUGCAGCCCCUGUAAUACGUAGGUGGCGAGCGUUAUCCGGAAUUAUUGGGCGUAAAGCGCGCGCAGGCGGUUUCUUAAGUCUGAUGUGAAAGCCCACGGCUCAACCGUGGAGGGUCAUUGGAAACUGGGAAGCUUGAGUGCAGAAGAGGAGAGUGGAAUUCCAUGUAUAGCGGUGAAAUGCGUAGAGAUAUGGAGGAACACCAGUGGAGAAGGCGACUCUCUGGUCUGCAACUGACGCUGAGGCGCGAAAGCGUGGGGAGCGAAC